rnacentral:lncRNA from 1 species
AACUUGCACUUUUAUUAAUUCCUUUUCUGAAUAAUUCGAUGAAAUUAUAAAAUUAAUUGAAACUAAACUAAUCAUACAGGUUAUUAAUUCAUUGAAAUCUGCCAUAUUACUAUUGACAUAUCGGUAUGUACUAUUGUACAUAUUACCAAAAAUAUCCCUUUGCGUAAAUGUAAAAUUCCCCAGGCGGAACUGGAAUGAAGUCAUGCACAGAUCGACAUAACGGCGUCGUUUCUAUGACACCUUGAUCUUUUCUGCGCUAGUGCCAAGUGGAGCGUCUAUAUUUACCGAACACACGCGAGCACGCGCGCGCCGUAGCAAGUUUCUGCACGCUAGUGGAUAAUGUUGGUGGAUUAAAUAAACCGUCGGAUUAAAUAGCAUCGCUGCAUUUCGCUCUUUCGUGGCACGAGGACUGUCCGGCAAAUAGGUCGACCACAGGCAUUCAAUCUUGGAAGAAGUGAAGUACCGUAUCGUCGACAAUUUUUCUUUCGGUCAACGGACACCAUUUUAUAUUUAGAACGGGUAUGGUCGCGACGGUAACUUUUCGUUACGCCGGUUGUUUUGUCUGAAAUUCGCGUGACGCAAACGCAUUAUUCGCGCGUGUUUCUGCCAUUCCUGCAUCGACUGAGCGAUAACUCGAUAAUAUUUCGUUGUGACUUCGCUGCCACCGAGAUAUUACUGGAAGAUUGAUCGAUGAAAAGAGAAAUUUACGGAUAUGUUUUUCUCUUAAACGUAAUGUUUAUCGAUAUAGAAAAUUAAUGCUGAAAUAUACAGCUAUCGCUUACUGAUGAUUUACUGCCAUGUCUGGAUCAGAAAUAUAACCCAUUGAUUCGGGAAGAUAAAUUAAUUGUCGCGGAAGAGUAUAACGUUUCGAUGAAAGAAGCGAGGUGAAGGGAGGAGAGAGUGGGAAAGGAAGAAGGGAAGAAUAGAAAUUGAUCGAGGAUGCUCCGUACACUUCCAUCCUCCGCACUCCUCGCUUGAGGGCUUUUUAUUGCAAGCUCUAUUGUAAAAAAAACCAUGGAGGAGCCACGGUUGCGGCCAGUCGUAAUAAAUAUUUUACGUUCUCGCAAUCGUUUUACUGCUAUUGGGAUAUCCUGAACGCGGUAAACCACCCGCGGGAUUUCGGCCUUUUUCCUUUUGCUCCUCCAAUCGCGUAUCCCUUUCGAAGAAUGAGCGCCUAUAAUCUUCCCCCUCUACUCGAGUCGCGCUCAAACAGAUAUCCUCGAGGAAUUUUCUGGUCGUCCAAAAAAAAAAAAAGAAAAAAUUGCAAGACAUCACUCGGUUUGCUAACAUUUAAAUUUAGAAUUCAGGUUUUCGUGUCCGUAAAUAAAUAAAGAUUCGUGUUCUUUUUUAUACCGGUCUUCAUAAAUCUCGCAAAUUGUCGAAGCAUUUCUGUUUCCAUUUCUGCGUCAUCUUGCAGGUAAAAAUAAACCAUCGAACGCGUAACGUUAACAGGAUAGAUGGUGAAAAAUUUAACUUUCCUUCGCUCUCGAGAUCGUUCAAUUUGGAAUGUUGCAAUCUCUAUCGGUAUCGGUGAUUCAAGUUUCCACAAGAUUCCAGGAUCUCAAGAAUUCAAUCGUUACACCAGACUCGUACUACACUGAUCAAUAUAAUUUCCAUCGAAAUUAAACGAAGGUUAUAUAAAUCGGUCGAGUUUUUAUCGACAACAGGCUUCGAACGAAUCGUCGGACGAAGAUGUCCAUUUUCUUUCUUCCGCGCGGACAUUUUCUUUCUCCGGCGAGUGUCGCGCCGAUCGAGGCGAGAGGUGCGCAUGUGCAAACAAGACAAGAGUGUUGUCGACUCUUCGAUGCCAACUAACGGGAUCUGUAGUGAUCAAGUGGGUCAGACGAGCUCGAUCCCGACUCGGUCCCUUCGCCGGUCGGCCAUCUCGUCACGCGGAUAUUUCAAGGUUAUGUUGCUUCUCGAUAUCGUUAUUUUGAAGAAACUUGUCAAUUAUUAGAGAUGCUUGGUUAUGUUGCUUCUCGAUAUCGUUAUUUUGAAGAAACUUGUCAAUUAUUAGAGAUGCCUGGUGCAAAUAAAUAUCUAUUGAUCCAAAUUGAUGGAAUUCAGAUUGACGAGGGUGAAAUUUGGUUAGAAAUUUAAUUGGAAAGAAGAGGGAUCAGGGAGAAGAGGUUGUCUAAGCUCGCCAAGUUUUGGAUCGGAGGGAAACUUUGAUUCGCUCUUGAGAGUAGAGUUCACGAUAGUGGUAUACUUGUUGUUUUCGCGAUUAAUUCGAAGAUAAUAUUCUCCCAGUGCAGAAAAUAAUAUCUCUUUUGAUAUUAAGAAUUUCGUAAUAAUUUUCACGAGAUGAAUGAUCGAAACCGAGAGUCGAUUCUUUUUUUCUUUUUUUUUAUAUUGUUACGCGAUUUCGAUUUAACGGCGAAUUAACGGACAUAUUCUUGCGUCUCGAUUUCUAUUCUUCCGUUUAAACAACGGAAUAGAAAUUCACUCGAUGCAAUUCCAUUUUGAAAAUUUAUCUAUUCAAUUAAUUUUAAAUUUCGUAAUUUCAAUAAGAAUGAAAUUACGUACGUGUAAUUAUUUAA